rnacentral:ncRNA from 2 species
GCGCCCGCGCAGGGAGAGUCCGGUACAGCCGGCGCCGAAGGAGCAACCGCCCCGGAAACUCUCAGGCACCAGGACCGGCGCGGGCCA